rfam:Triticum urartu cultivar G1812 contig8333, whole genome shotgun sequence.
AGAUUACUCCCUCUGUCCGGAAUUACUUGUCGCGAAAAUGGAUAAAAUUGAAUGUAUUUAGAACUAAAAUAUGUCUAAAUACAUUUAUUCCUUUGACAGGUAUUUCCGGACGGAGGGAGUAGUAG